rnacentral:rRNA from 1 species
UGCGGCCGCGAUUCCGGUUGAUCCUGCCGGACCCGACUGCUAUCGGGGUGGGGCUAAGCCAUGGGAGUCGUACGCCCCGGUGACCGGGGCGUGGCGGACGGCUGAGUAACACGUGGCUAACCUACCCUCGGGACGGGGAUAGCUC